CUCUGAUGGGCUUCAGAGUGGAAUGAGAUCACUUAUCAAAUUGGCAACAGGUCCUCUCUGGCCAUCUCCGUAUAGUUUGACCCAAUGAGUUUGGUUCUCCCUUCUUUGUCAAUUCCCCUGUCUCCUGAAUGUCUCAUUCUCAAACUAAUUUUGCUUGAAAUUGUGGCUGGAGAUGGUAUGUUUGAAACUUAAUAUGAUGAACAUAGAACAGAUUUCAACACCUUUUUAGCAAAAGAUGUUCACAUAAACCUGAAAUGAAUAUAGCCAAAGAGGACGUGGUCUUUCAGCACCUCCAGCUAAAAAAUGCUGCAGAGGAACUUCCUGUAUUAAGUACAGAUGGGGUUUCACCAUGUUCGCCAGGAUGGUCUCGAUCUCCUGACCUCGUGAUCUGUCCACCUCUGCCUCCCAAAGUGCUGAGAUUACAGGUGUGAGCCACCACUCCCAGCCUUUGUCAUCAUUUCAGAUAGGGUGAAGGAAUGGUUUAAGUCGCCUCCAAGGUAUCUUGUUGGGGGUGAGGGGUACAGAGGGGUCUUACUGAAUGGUGAUGAAAAAGGGGACACAAGCGAAAAAUCAACAUUGGAGAAAAGAUAACUAAACCCUGGGAAGCUUAAGGAACAAAGUGUAACAAAACAACAUGGAUUGUUUUAUAAAAUACUUUGAGAUAUCCAGGAUUAAAAGUAUGAUAAAAAAUAACAUCGUGUAUUUUUGCAGUAACUUUUAAUUUACAAAAACACUUACAUACAUUAUCUCACUAGACUCUUUGACCCUUAUAUGUACUAUGUAAGAAAGGCAGGGCAGGCACCAGAAAUCCAGGGUUACAAAAUCUAGUGAUUGGAACUCAGAGGGAUUGCGAGGCAUGCUCAAAAUCCCACAACUGCGCAAAAAUAGGACAAACAGAAAUAUGUUCACUCAGUGAUUAGAACUCGGAGGGAUUGUGAGGCAUGCUCAAAAUCCCACAACUGCGCAGAAAUAGGACGAAGAGAAAUAUGUUUGCUCAGUCCUAGGUGCAAUACUUAUGACCAGAAUGGGAGGACAGACUGAUCCCCUUUAGAGCUUGAUUUUCCUUCCCUCUGGGAAUAUAUCUGCCUUUGGCACUG
rnacentral:lncRNA from 10 species